GCCAGUGACACCCACAGCUGCUUCCUGAGUGUAAAGCUGCAGGUGAUCACUGUACUGAGACACAUCACAGGAAGAGACCGAGAUUAAAGGACGCUGCUGGCGGCGUCCAUUUUAAUCUACAAACAAGAACACAAUGGUGGAAGAAACGAAACAGCGAAAAAACGCCACAUCCCUCCAGGCUGGACCUGGUGAGGUAGACCACAACACUCGCUGUACCAUCGAUAUGAGCAGAGUUUCACAGCGUAUUGGACGACAGCUGGCUCUGAUAGGGGAUGAAUUGGACAACAAAUGGCGUGAACAACUGCCCCUCCAAUGGCAGCCCCUGAAUUUUGGGAUUUAUCCUUAUGUCCUAACCAGGAGAGCGUUCUCUGGCAGGAUCUUCAACAAUGUCUGGGGGUCCAAAAUGAUGCCAAUGUUGAGGACAUCCUGGCUUGUUCCACAGCUUCAAAACGGCUGUCAGGUGGCCAAGAAGUGGGCAGCCUUGGUAUGGACAAUAUUUAUUUUGUGUCUGUAAAUAUCUAUGAA